rnacentral:lncRNA from 1 species
ACAUUUUAAAGAGUUUCUUUUGUAAUAAAAAAAAAUCAAUGGCAGGUAUCAAAGUUUUCGGACACGCUGCUUCCACUGCCACCAGGAGAGUCCUCCUCACCCUCCACGAGAAGAACCUCGACUUUGAGCUCGUUCAUGUCGAGCUCAAAGACGGCGAGCACAAGAAAGAGCCCUUCCUCUCCCGCAACGUAAGUAUUUAUAUGUUAACCAUGAGUUUUGAUACAAGACCAACCACUUUUGACAAAUCUUGGUCUGAAUCUUGAAUGUAUUUUGUGUUUGAUUGAUGUUUGCAGCCUUUUGGUAAAGUUCCCGCCUUUGAAGAUGGAGACCUCAAGCUCUUCGGUAUGAACGUUUUCUUGCAUCAUCAUCAUCUCUCAUUUGAAAAUUUCACUAACAAGAUUUGAUUCUCUCGUGUAGAAUCAAGAGCGAUUACUCAGUACAUAGCUCACCGAUAUGAAGAGGAAGGAACCAACCUUCUCCCAGCCGACUCCAAGAACAUAUCCCACUACGCAAUCAUGGCCAUUGGAAUGGAAGUAGAAGCUCACCACUUCGACCCAGUGGCUUCAAAGCUUGCUUGGGAACAAGUGUUCAAGCUCUUCUAUGGCAUGACCACAGACCAAGCCGUUGUUGAAGAAGAAGAGGCCAAGUUAGCCACGGUUCUUGAUGUGUACGAGGCUAGGCUCAAGGAGUUCAAGUAUUUGGCUGGUGAAACUUUUACUUUGACCGAUCUUCACCACAUUCCAGUGAUUCAGUACUUGCUUGGAACUCCCACCAAAAAGCUCUUCGAUGAGCGUCCACAUGUCAGCGAGUGGGUGGCAGAGAUCACCAACAGGCCAGCUUCCCAGAAGAUCCUUCAGUGAGACAAAAGGAAAAGAAAAUGAUUCUGCUUCAGUCACAGUAAUAAUAUGCUCAAACUAAAUAAGUGGCUGCCUCAUUGCCCAAUUUCUCAGUGCUCUGUUUUGUCUUUCUGUAUGUCCUCUGUUUUUUAUUUUCAGUUUAAUAUUGUAUGUGUUUGUGUUCUUGAGAGAUCAUUGUUGAAUCAAAAGUUAUUUUCCUAAUCUUCAAACUCUUCUAUAAUAAAACAGGUUAGUUAGUUAUUUAAUACUACAGAAGAUUGCAAUGUCUUAACUAAGGAGUUACUUAUUAGUGAGAGAAUAGUAUGCAAAGACUUUUAGUGCUUACUUUGUAGGCAUAAGACUUUGGACAUUCUCAUCCUUAUAAAGUCUCCUUGCUUUGUCGGAUCUGAAAAUGACAGACAAGUAAGAGAUGGUCUUAGCUAAAAGUCUGACAAAGCAAACGAGGAGGAGGAGGGGAUGAUGAGUAUUUGCAUGAAGAGCCUCAAGAUCUCCCUCCUCGAAAUCCUUUAAAGCAGCCUCUUAAACGACCUAGAAACUCAGAUCCUUUCCAAGAAGCCAUGUUAGCGGUUGCUUCAAGCAUUCGUCGCCUAGCUGAUGCAGUGGAAGGAAGCAAAAGUUUGAUCAACACAGAGGAACUGCUUGAAGCAGUGAUGGAGAUUGAUGGAUUGGAAGAAGCCAAGCAGAUGUAUGCGUUUGAGUAUCUGAAUGGUGAUCCGGUGAAAGCUAGAGCGUUCAUGGCUUAUGAUAGUAGGAUGAGGAAGUUGUUUUUGUUUCGACAGUUUUGGUGGUGGAAGUAAUAACACAAAAUGUGGAUUUGAAUUUUGUUUUAAGGUAAUUUAAAGUCUAGAGUUUUUGUAUUCGGUGAUUGUUGUCUAUGGUAAAAUGAUUUAUCCCAAGUGGUCACAUUGCAAAACCAAUGUUUCGGUCCCAACAAUUUUGUAGUCGGUAGAUGUUAGUCAUAGUAGAUAAAUUACUAUGAUUUGGUCUGGGCAAAAACCAAACACAAUUAAAAGAAGAAAUCGAAUCAAAAUUUUAUAAAUAGUUGAUUUGUUUUUUAUUGUCCGAAAUAUUCUAACUGAAUCAAAAUCAAUAGAUAGUUGAAUAUAUAAAAUAUAAUUUUCUAUUUAAAAUAUUAAUUAUAAUAAUUUAUAUGAUAUAACAUUUUAAAUAUAAUUACUAUUGAGAAUAUUUAUAAAUAUAUACAAAAAGAAUUUACUGAUGUUUAAUUUAUCUGAAUAUUUUUAUUUAAAAUAUUUAAAUUGGUUUUGGUUUAGCUCAAUUUACAACCGCAGUUUCGCUUGAUUUAGCUCAAUUUUAGUAUGGUUGGUCCGCUUGGUUUCUCUAAAAGAAAUCAACUUAAUCAAUUGAUUGGAGGAAAAUAACACAACGCAACGCAACGUGAGACGUUAUCACCCAUCAUCAUCAUCCAUCGAUCAUCACCAUCUAAAAACCAUGCAAAGCAGGAAUUUUUUUGAAGACUGACAAGGAAACAUGGUGAAGUCACUCUCCUUUGUUCAUCAACCCUAAACUCACUAUUCUCCUCCACUCUCUCUUCAUCCACUUCUUCCAAGAAUAACAAAAUUGCGUACUCAGCAAACAUCAAGAACCAGAUAAUAUCGUCUCUGUCAUGGAACAGACGAGAACUGUCUCUUGGGUUUAUGAUCAGCUUUCUUGCGUUUGGUCUCGUGGAGAGCUUCUGGAGAAAGUGAAGCAAGAUCGGAAAAAGAGGAUUGAGCGACGAGCUGUUCUUAACUCUGCUGUCAAUGAAAAGGGUAUUUCUGAAAACAAUCAGUCUUUCAUCUUUGUGUUGCUGGGUUUUUUUCUAUGUGUUCGAGAAUUUGCAAAGUUUGGGAUGUGUACUUGUGUUUAGAAGAAAGUUACUCAGACUUUGAAGUUACAUGUAGCAGUAACCUGAAGAAUCAACAGUCUUUAUAGUUGAUGAAAAGUUUACUCUUAUAGGACAAAUGUGUUUCCUCAUUGUGUUAUGGUCUUCAUAGUUAGUUAAUUGGCUUUGUUCCAAUGCCAUUUACAUUAAAAAGUUACUCUGGUUUUGUAUCCUUCCAAUGCUACAUGACGUAAUCAGAAGAUAUUUAUGGACAAGUUUUACUCUUUUAGGGAUAUAUGGGUCUUCUCUUUCUGGUAUAUGGUCUACAUAUUGUUAUCUGUCUUGUUCUAGUGUUACUUACAUUGAACACUAAUCUGAUGAUGAUUGAUUAAGUAAUCAGAACAAAUAGAUGGAAAGGUUUUUGACCUUUUUGUUAUUUCUGUCAUUGUCUUGUUUGUAGGGUAUUUGCAGGAUCUUGUUUACAAGUUAAGCAAAGUAGGACAAGCCAUUGAGAACAAUGAUCUGGAAGCUGCAUGUUUGGUCUUAGGGAAAGGCAUUGAUACCGGAUGGGUCAAAACCGUUAAUUUGGCUUUCACAAAGCUCUUUUUCUUUCUCCUUUUUUUUUUUUAACUCACAAUGGUCAAAUGGAUUGAUUAUAUUUAUAUUCAACUGGUUCUCUCUCUGCAUAAGGUAGAUUUUCUUUUUACGGUUUAGUCAAGCUCGUUCUUUGUGUUGUAACGACAGCUGAGUGCAAGCCCGGAAGAAAAUACAGAGGUGGAAAGUGGAAACAUUUAAUUCAUCUUUAGCUUCUCUUAUUACAUCAGGUUCGUUGUUCUUCUUAACUUCUCUGUUCACAAGAAUCAAAUUUAUCCAUUUAAAAGUCAUAAGAAAUAUCUUAUUGAAACUUGGUUACGCAGUGAACAAGAACGAUAGAGAGUCAUCUAAGCUCGCGUUUGUGUCAUCGGCUAGUGCAUUUGAGAAAUGGACGAGCUUGACAGGUCUUUUGGGACACCUUAAAGGAAUAUGAUAGGCUACCUUACAAAAUUGUCUUUAUUUUUCUACGGAUGGUCAACAAAAGAAGAGUCGAAACAAACAAAAAAAUAAUCCUUUGAAAAUGCCAUCUUAACAGCUUUGCUUAUCAUUAUUUAUUACAUUUGUUCAUACUCACCUUGCAUUGGCUAAUUUUUAAAAAAGUUUCAGUCACGAGUUUGAAUGGUAAUAACUCAACAUUAAAAGGAACCUUUCAACCAGAAUUCCACAUAAAUAAACUUUAAAUUAAAAAAAAACCUUUGAACCGGGAAGAAGUCAUGCCCGAUAUGCUAACCAAGAGUGUGUCAAUCAAGUAAAGUUGUAAACCAAAACCCGGGUAAAACAUGUACAACCAAAUUUCACAUCAAUAGAAACCCAUUUAACCGAGAAAUCAUGCCGGUUAAAAGCAUCCCGAAACAAUACUGAACCGGUAAUAGCCAAGGUGUAUGUCACGUUACUAGGUGGAGCUUGACUAUUAGGUGGAAGUUUGAGACAUUUGGGCGUUAGUACACACUUGUUUGAUCUUUUCUUUGAUGACAUUCAUUGAAUGCUUUAUUAUUUAAAAACGAUAUCUCAUAACCAAAUUGUAAAAAACAAAUAAUCAAGCGUUAAACAAUCUCAUUCCAGUUUGACUAAUCCUCCAAAGAAGACUAGUCAAUAUUGGUUUGCGACGGUCUUGUAGAUGCAUUAUUGAUCAGCUAAAACAAUAUUAAACAUUAAUGAGAAUCCAUUAAAAUGCUCUGUUUUCUACUUGUAUAAAUAUACCAUCAUUACUUGUCUCUUGUUUCAUCACCUUCACAUUCAACAUUAAACACAUCACAUUUCAAAGAGUUUCUUUUGUAAUCAAAAUCAAUGGCAGGUAUCAAAGUUUUCGGACACGCUGCUUCCACUGCCACCAGGAGAGUCCUCCUCACCCUCCACGAGAAGAACCUCGACUUUGAGCUCGUUCAUGUCGAGCUCAAAGACGGCGAGCACAAGAAAGAGCCCUUCCUCUCCCGCAACGUAAGUAUUUAUAUGUAACCAUGAGUUUUGAGACAAGACCAACCACUUUUGACAAAUCUUGGUCUGAAUCUUUAAUGUUUUGUUUUUGAUUGACGUUACA